GGUGAAUGCCUUGGCACUAGGAGCCGAAGAAGGACGCGAUAAGCUGCGAUAAGCCUUGGGUAGCCGCAAAUAGGCUGAGAUCCAGGGAUUUCCGAAUGAGGAAACUCACAUGGGUAACCCCAUGUAUCAUGCACUGAAUACAUAGGUGUAUGAGGGUAAACCCGGGGAACUGAAACAUCUAAGUACCCGGAGGAAGAGAAAGAAAAAUC
rnacentral:rRNA from 1 species